CUGCGGGGUGGCUGGUGCCGCUGUCCACGGAGGUGCCUCGGCAGUGGAAUCCCAUUUCUUUCCAGCCACAGUCUACCCCAUGGGUCGACCUAUCAGAUGCGCCGGCCAGGCGGAGAGCUGCUGUCCAAAUCAUAUUCUUCUGGAAACAGAAAAGGCUUUCUGUCCGGCUUGCUAGAUAAUGUCAAACAAGAAUUAGCCAAAAACAAAGAAAUGAAAGAAAGUAUAAAAAAAUUCCGUGAUGAGGCCAGAAGGCUAGAAGAAUCAGAUGUGCUCCAGGAGGCCAGAAGGAAAUACAAAACCAUCGAGUCAGAAACCGUGCGGACGAGUGAGGUGCUACGGAAGAAGCUUGGGGAGCUGACGGGCACCGUGAAGGAGAGUCUUCACGAAGUCAGUAAAAGUGAUCUCGGCCGGAAAAUCAAGGAGGGCGUGGAGGAAGCAGCCAAGACGGCCAAGCAGUCGGCCGAGUCGGUAUCCAAAGGUGGGGAGAAGCUGGGCAGGAUGGCGGCCUUCAGAGCCCUCUCCCAGGGGGUGGAGUCUGUGAAGAAGGAAAUUGACGACAGCGUUCUGGGACAGACCGGGCCCUACCGGAGGCCCCAGCGACUCCGGAAGAGAACGGAGUUUGCGGGAGAUAAGUUCAAGGAGGAGAAAGUGUUUGAGCCAAACGAGUAGGUACCAGCCCGUGGCCCUCGCUGCCCCCAUUUUGGGCAGCUUUCACUGCUGUCUAUUUCGGGAGCCCACCAAUGGUUCCCUCCUGAGUCCGUUUCU
rnacentral:sRNA from 1 species